rnacentral:lncRNA from 10 species
UAAAUUAUUUUUAUUUUUUGGUAUAAAAUAUUUAUUUCCAUGCCUAUAAACUCUGAUUUCUGUGGUAAUAAUGCUAAGUAAACUACAGUCUUUUAAGGAACUUCAUUGAACAUCUUUCUUUGUAGUUUAUAUCAUAGCCAUCUAGUUAACUUUAUUUUUUAGAUUUAUCUUCUAGAUUACAGAGGAAUUAUUGGUGGAUAAUUGAAAGCAAAAUUAUAUUAGCAAAACCAGUGGCUCUGGAGUGAUGUAUAUGUAUGUAUAUAUUAUAAAUACAUAUAUAUAGGAUAUGUUUGUAUACAU